CAUCUGUGAUGAUGCUAUCCCGAACCUGAAUUUAUUGUUGAAAAAACUCCAUACGGAUCUGGCUUCUGAGAU
ensembl:snoRNA